GGAAUUUUGGACAAUGGGGGCAACCCUGAUCCAGCCAUGCCGCGUGCGGGAAGAAGGCCUUCGGGUUGUAAACCGCUUUUAGCCGGAAAGAAAAGGCGCUCCCCAAUCCGGGGCGUUCUUGACGGUACCGGCGGAAUAAGCACCGGCUAACUCCGUGCCAGCAGCCGCGGUAAUACGUAGGGUGCGAGCGUUAAUCGGAAUUACUGGGCGUAAAGCGUGCGCAGGCGGUUCGUUGUGUCUGAUGUGAAAGCCCCGGGCUCAACCUGGGAACUGCAUUGGAAACUGGCGGACUUGAGUGUGGCAGAGGGGGGUGGAAUUCCGCGUGUAGCAGUGAAAUGCGUAGAGAUGCGGAGGAACACCGAUGGCGAAGGCAGCCCCCUGGGCCAACACUGACGCUCAGGCACGAAAGCGUGGGGAGCAAAC
rnacentral:rRNA from 1 species